rnacentral:rRNA from 1 species
AUUGAACGCUGGCGGCAGGCCUAACACAUGCAAGUCGAACGAGUGGCGGACGGGUGAGUAAUGUCUGGGGAACUGCCCGAUGGAGGGGGAUAACUACUGGAAACGGUAGCUAAUACCGCAUACCAUCAGAUGUGCCCAGAUGGGAUUAGCUAGUAGGUGGGGUAACGGCUCACCAAGGCGACGAUCCCUAGCUGUUAUGAGAGGAUGACCAGCCACACUGGAACUGAGACACGGUCCAGACUCCUACGGGAGGCACCAGUGGGGAAUAUUGCACAAUGGGCGCAAGCUUGAUGCAGCCAUGCCGCGUGUAUGAAGAAGGCCUUCGGGUUGUAAAGUACUUUCAGCGGGGAGGCGUUACCCGCAGAAGAAGCACCGGCUAACUCCGUGCCAGCAGCCGCGGUAAUAC